UUAAGUAUCCUGCUCAUGAGUAAUUUUAAUAGCCGCGGAAAUUUAACUGUGCUAAGGUAGCAUAAUCAUUAGCCUCUUAAUUAGAGGCUCGUAUGAAAGGUAAAACAUUUCAAUUUCUAUAUUAUUUAUAAUUUUUUAAUUUAAAUUAAGAAUUAAAAUGUUCUUAUUAAAUAAAUAGACGACAAGACCCUUUUGAACUUUACUUUAGUUUAGCUGGGGCAGCUAAUAAAUUAUAAUCUUUUUAUUUUUUAUAUCAUAAAUGACCCAAUAUAAUUGAUUUUAUGAACAAGUUACCAUAGGGAUAACAGCGUAAUAUUUUUCUAAAGUUCUUAUUUAAAAAAAUGAUUGCGACCUCGAUGUUGAAUUAAUGUAACUUUAUAGAUGCAGUAAUUUUAAAAGUAGGUCUGUUCGACCUUUAAAUCAUUACAUGAUCUGAGUCCAAACCGGA
rnacentral:rRNA from 1 species